rnacentral:rRNA from 1 species
GGGCGUAAGCGCGCGCAGGUGGUUUCUUAAGUCUGAUGUGAAAGCCCACGGCUCAACCGUGGAGGGUCAUUGGAAACUGGGAGACUUGAGUGCAGAAGAGGAAAGUGGAAUUCCAUGUGUAGCGGUGAAAUGCGUAGAGAUAUGGAGGAACACCAGUGGCGAAGGCGACUUUCUGGUCUGUAACUGACACUGAGGCGCGAAAGCGUGGGGAGCAAACAGGAUUAGAUACCCUGGUAGUCCACGCCGUAAACGAUGAGUGCUAAGUGUUAGAGGGUUUCCGCCCUUUAGUGCUGAAGUUAACGCAUUAAGCACUCCGCCUGGGGAGUACGGCCGCAAGGCUGAAACUCAAAGGAAUUGACGGGGGCCCGCACAAGCGGUGGAGCAUGUGGUUUUAUUCUAAAAAA